CCUACGGGGGGCAGCAGUGGGGAAUAUUGCACAAUGGGGGAAACCCUGAUGCAGCGACGCCGCGUGAGUGAAGAAGUAUUUCGGUAUGUAAAGCUCUAUCAGCAGGGAAGAAAAUGACGGUACCUGAUUAAGAAGCCCCGGCUAACUACGUGCCAGCAGCCGCGGUAAUACGUAGGGGGCAAGCGUUAGACGGAUUUACUGGGUGUAAAGGGGGCGUAGACGGCAGCACAAGUCUGGAGUGAAAUGCCGGGGCUUAACCCCGGAACUGCGUUGGAAACUGUGCAGCUAGAGUGCAGGAGAGGUAAGUGGAAUUCCUAGUGUAGCGGUGAAAUGCGUAGAUAUUAGGAGGAACACCAGUGGCGAAGGCGGCUUACUGGACUGUAACUGACGUUGAGGCUCGAAAGCGUGGGGAGCAAACAGGAUUAGAUACCCUUGUAGUC
rnacentral:rRNA from 1 species